UACGGGGGGGGCAAGCGUUGUUCGGAAUUACUGGGCGUAAAGGGCUCGUAGGCGGCCAACUAAGUCAGACGUGAAAUCCCUCGGCUUAACCGGGGAACUGCGUCUGAUACUGGAUGGCUUGAGAUUGGGAGAGGGAUGCGGAAUUCCAGGUGUAGCGGUGAAAUGCGUAGAUAUCUGGAGGAACACCUGAGGCGAAGGCGGGCUACUGGGCCGAUACUGACGCUGAGGCGCGAAAGCCAGGGGAGCAAACGGG
rnacentral:rRNA from 1 species